AAUCACAUUUGAACAUUUCUAAAUUAUAUAAAAAUAAAAAUUCUAAGAAUACAAUAGGUAGGUACAACAUGUCAACAUCAAAUGUAUAAAUUUUUUGCUUACUGAUUUUUAAAUAAUAUUAACUUUGUCAUGUUCCUUCGAAUAUUUUUUUUGGUGAUUGAUAAAGUAUGCAUUUUAGCAUAAUGAUGCAGUCUGAUAGUGACAUAAUGGCGGAUUAUUAAGUGUAUUAAUUGUGAUCUAUGACUAUUGAAAACGUCUUGAUCCAUUAUAUGAUUUUUCAUUAUGUCACUAUUGAAGAUUGAUGUUUCAAAACAAACUUCAUUCAUGGAUUUUAUACAUAAAUAUUGACUUAUAUUUUUUUUGCAGUAAUGAUACAGAUUCAUUGUUUUCAUCAACUAAUUGAGAUUCACAGAUUAUACAAAUAUUCUUUUGCCUUUUGAUUUUACGAACAAUAAAUCCACUGGUAUAUUUAACAACAUCUACUACAAAAUCUUCUAAAGCAGGUCUUUGGUACUCAUAAUCAUGAUCAAACUCAUCAAAAUAUUGGGAUUCAUCAUUAUUGUCGAAGUUAAAAAUCGCAUCAGCAUCAUUCCUCUUAUUUGCACUCACAUAAAGAAUGGUAGAGCUGUCCAAAAGAGUGCAGUUUCCAAAUGCUGAACCAUUUAUUUCGUGACGUACAAGUAGCCUUUUAUAUGCCGAUCGAAAUUGAAUAGCAUUUGGAUUGUUGUUAAAUCCACCACGGCUUCUCAUCGCACUGAAAAACACUUCCAAGUGAUCCUGACUAAGUUUAUAUGAAAGUAAGUAUAAAAUAUGAGGUUUUAGAAUUUCAUAUAAUUUUAAAAGAUUUGUUAAACAUAUAAUUAGUCCUAAAAAUCCAGUUUUACGCUGACUUUUCAAUAAAUACUCAUUGUCUGAGUUGGUGGUGUUGUUGACAUAUUUAAGGUUUUCAAUGUAUUCUUUAAAAUAAAUUAUAAACUCUGUUA